CUGUGGGCCAUCAACCUAUGCCCCCUGUCCCUCACCCCUGGCUGGAUCAGUCCAUCUCCUGACCUGGGGGCUUUCCCUUCCGGAUGGGGCUGGUCUGGGCCACACAGAGACAGAUCUUCCUAGGAAGGCCAGGGUGGGGAGAACACAACCUAGGCGGCCCCUCUCUUCCACAGCCCCUCUCCCAACCCUGCGAGGGGGGCCCAGGCCUGCCACAUACAGGACUCCCACACUGCAUGACCCCUCACCCCCAAACCCAUAUCCACCAGGACUCUCUCCCAUGGCUGUCUCCCAGUAUCUGUUCCUUCUCAUGCCCCUGCAGGGCCCUGGCCUGUCUAUGAUCCUGCCUCCACCAAAUUCAAGGUGUGGGGAGACGGGUGCCGUGGUUGGGAGCUGUUCAGCCCACUCCUGACCUCUUCUAGACCCAUGGCUUUCCUGUCCUGCAGCCAGAGCUAGAGGCCCGCUCGGCCUUGCCAGAAGCAUCCAACUUUGAGACUUUGCAGGCUGCCAGGUGCUGGUUGCGGGGCACACAGCCUGGGGCGCUGGGAGGUAAUAUGGGGAUCUGGAGAAACUCCGUGAAGAGAUGUAGCCAUGCGGGGCCUGAAUCUCCUGAACUAGAGCCAGUUUCCUGAGAUUAGAACCUGUGUGUAUGCACAUGUGAAUGUAUGUGUGAGUGCACAUGUGUGUAAGUGCAGUGUGCAUAAAUGUAUGAGUCUGUGUGUGUUAGCAUGCCUGUGUGUGAGCCCAUGUGUGUGCACCAGUGCACACGUGUAUGAAUGUUGAUGCAUUUGUAAGCACACCUGUGUGUGUGUGAGUACAUGUGCACACAUGUGUGCACAAAUGUGCAUUUCUAUGAGUGUGAGCACAAGCAUGUGUGUAUGAGUGUUCAUGUGUAUGAGUGUGUACGUAUGCAGGUGAGUGCAUGUGUGUGUGAGCGUGUUUGUGUGUUCCCCUUGGCUGCUAGGCCAACGACUGCUUCUCUGCAUCCUGCUGUCUUCGCUACCUGAGGGUCUGUGACUUCUUCCCUGUGUGGGUCCAGCCUGGCCCCCUGUAAGUAAAUGUCCAAAAGCCCCUUGCCCCUCCCGUAGGGCUACCAGGGAACGUACUCUACUGCAUAUGUUCUAGUGGAAGAGAAGCUGGGGUUCUAGCAAAGAAGAGCCAAACUUUGGUGGCCUUUGGUGCCCCCUGUCAGCUCCCCAUGACAAUGGGGCUACAGACACUGUGUGUUCAGCCUGCCCAGGGGCUGGGGCUCUUUAAGGCUUUGUAGAUGAGGUUUCCAUGGACCUUCAAAGGUGCCAGCAGCCUGCAGGGGAAAGGCGAACUCCCUCCUUGCAGGGAAAGGAGAUGUCUAGCCAAUGAUGCCCGGCUUCUGAGGCCCAGAGGAGCAGGUGGGAUGGGAGCAGCCCCUGGGGCUGGUGUCCUGAAGAUGAAAUGAAAGGGGCUGCCUAUCUCAGUUGGCGGGAGGUGUUAGAAGUGGAUGUGCAAGACCAGCCACUGGAGGUAGCUCUCUGGAAUCAAAGAGAGGCCUGCUUUUCUACCAGACAUGGGAGCAGCAUGUGGGAAACAAGGGUCUACCCAGAGAGCAGAGUCAGCCUAGUCCUUGCAGCCUCAGGAAGUCCUGGGCCCAAGUGAGUCCUGGUCCAAGGACCCCCCUGGAAAGCUGCAGUUCAGUGGGCUUCACUGCAGCCCCUGGCCGCGGCCUAUGCCCUCCCUGGGCCCCUGUGGGGCUGGGCAUUGUGUCUGACCUGUGCAUCUCCCAUGGGAGGGCUGGGCACAGGCAGUGCUAUGGCCUUUUAUUUUUUCUUUUUCCAAUAAAAGAACUUGCCCAGCGUGAAGCUCUGUGAUGCUUUCUCUGCCCCAUGACGAUGGAGGGUCAGUUCUAUGCCCCAGGACCACAUGAGGGGAUAAUCGGCUGCCUGAACUGGACCUCACAUGGGGAGCAGGAUGAACUCUGUCUUCUUGGAGCUUGUAGUCUACUGGGGAGGCAGACAUCUCAGCACCUCUAAUCUGGAAUCUUUGGGGCACUUGUAGCCUUGGGUGGGGGAACAGGUUGGACUGAAAGCCAGGCCAAAAGUAAUCAAUUAAUGAUAUCAAUAAAUCCUCAAUUCUUGAGCUCUUCCCCUGGGUUGGGUCCUGUUGGGAGUUGGAUCACUCAGGUCACUCAGUACUGAAGAUGAGAAAGUAGCUGGAUGAUCACUUCUCGGCCUUUUGGCCGAGAUCAAGUAUGGAGAAAGUAGCUGGAUGUUGGAAUCUAGCAGAGUUGUGUCUUGAAUUUUAUAAUUUAUUGAGCACCUACUAUGUGCCAGAUACUUUGCUAAAACCAUAUGUUAGAUCUGGGAGGGGAUUUAAAGAUCACUUGAAUCCUGUCACAGAGGUCCAGAGAGGGUGGGUGACUUGCCCCAGGCCACACAGCUGGUUGAUGAUAACAGGGCCCAAGCUUGGAACCCCGGUAUCCCGACUUAGUGCCCAUUCUGUUACCACAGGGAUGGCACCCAGGUGGGAAGCUGCCUGAGGCUGCAGGGAGACUGGGGUCACACACUCAGGCCUGUUCCCAGAGAGGGGCUCAUCAGACUGUGGGGACAACGGCUCCAGCCUCUUGGGUGGGGGCUGGGCAGUCCCCUCUGGGUGGUUCUCAUGUUUGUUCUCACUGCCGCUAAGGGCAGCUUGGUGCUUGCCUGAACUGUGUGCAGCCUGGACUCACUCCCUCUGCUGGAACCUGGGCCAUGUGUGGGUUGCCACAAGUGAGGGUGUUCUCUAAUAUGAGGGCAGGUUCAUUCUGUUUUGGGAUAGGAAGUUUGUUCUACCUCGAGGCCAGAUUUGAACCCAAACUCAGCUCUUCUAGAGAGGAGGUCCUGGGGAGGGGGUGAGGAUUUACUAAACUGGUAAAACCAAAUCCGGGUGCUUAUCUGACUGAGAGGCAUUCAACCCUUCCAUUUUCAAAUGGUAAUCAUAAUAUUAAUAGUAGCUGACGUUUAUUUAGCACUUCCUAUGUGCCAGGCACUAGGCUAAGACUCUAUACAUAAUUAGUCAUUCGAUCCUCACAGCAACCCUCCAUGGCAUGGAUUCUUAUUUCCCAUUUUACAUAUGGGGAAACUGAGGCUCAUGGAAGUUAAGUAACUGGGAAGUUGCAGAUCUUGGCUUUGAAUCUAGGCAAUCUGACUCCAAACUGCAAGGAAGAAGACAGAUCCAGCCUUGGAGGCCGCUUAGCAGCUUGAGGGCCUCAGCCGUCCUGGGAUUAGGAUCAGGCAGAUUCCCAGGGAAGGACUUGGAGCUAUGCCUGGGCUUUGAGGCUGGGCUGGCACCUCCACUUCCAGGGCAUCAUGGGAGUGUGCAUGGGCUGUGCUCGCAGGCAUGCGGGACCCAGAGGCAGCCCGGUGAAGGGUAGUGGGGGACCCGACUCAUUGUGAGCCUGGGGAGGUGUGGUUUCUCUCUGCCGGCUUAGUUACAGGCAGUGGCCUGUCUCUCUGGGGUCUGGCUGCAGCCAUGUCCCUGCACCCACCUUGCCAGCCAGGGACAGGCCCCGUCAAGACCCAGGAGCAGCUCCAGCCUCAGCCAGACUGUCCCCCAGGUCCCAAGUGAGGCCCCAGCCACCCAGGCAUGCCUCAGGAAGCUCCUGCUGCACACGCUCCUCUCCCUGCGCCAGCACCCUGCUGUCUGCCUUCCUUCCUUUGGCCACAGGCCCAGUGUGUGUGAAACCACAGGAUUUACAGAAGCUCGAGGUGCCACUGAGUGGCAGAAUUAUGCACUGCACUCGGGGAAUCAAAGGUGGAGGCAGAAAGAACUAUGGCUGUUGUGACACUUCCCCCACGGCUCCCCAGCUGGCAGCCACUGCCACCCACAGGGACUUUUCUCUGGCUUCCAGAGAGCCCAGACUUUGGAGGUUUCUGCAUGACCCUUCUCGGGCGACUUCUAGGAGGAUUUAUUCUCCUGGCAGUGCCGAGGGCAGCCUGCACCAAGCUUACAACUCUUCCUCCAAGAGGAUGUUCAAAGGGCCUGUCAUUUCAGCGUCUGCUGGACAGCAGAACUUCAUGUGAGGAUCCUGGAGCUGCGCUGGGUUUUGAAUCAGGGACAAUGGAGGAAGUGGGAAAGUGUGAAGAGAGUCAGAGGGCUGUGUCAGCUGCCCCCCUUCCCACCCCCAGCAAUUCACUUAACUUUCCUGAGCCUCAGCUUUGUCAUUAUGAGAAUGUGCAUAUUUAUAAAUAAUCAUCUGUUUCUCCAAUGUAAGAUAUUAUUGUUAUUGCAGAAGUGAUACUAGGACCUCGUUAUAUGAUGGCCUCAUGAUACAGAUUUAUAGCAGGCUUCAGAUUCUGGCAUAGAAUAAAUAGAUAUUUAUCCAAGGGUUCACUGAUUCCCUAAUAAAUGCCAGGAACAUUCAUGUACAUUAUUAAUCCAUUUAAUUCUCGAACACUGGGGUGUUGAAAUCUUAUUUUACAGAUGAGGAAACUGACAUUCUGGGUGGUUAGGUAGCUUGACAAGGGCUAGUAAGUAUCAGAG